UACAGAGGUCUCAAGCGUUGUUCGGAUUCAUUGGGCGUAAAGGGUGCGUAGGCGGCGCGGUAAGUCGGGUGUGAAAUCUCGGGGCUUAACUCCGAAACUGCAUUCGAUACUGCCGUGCUUGAGGACUGGAGAGGAGACUGGGAUUUACGGUGUAGCGGUGAAAUGCGUAGAUAUCGUAAGGAAGACCAGUGGCGAAGGCGGGUCUCUGGACAGUCACUGACGCUCAGGUGCGAAAGCUAGGGGAGCGAACGGG
rnacentral:rRNA from 1 species